GCCAUUUUGCCAGAAAGUCGUGUUAAGGGCAGAUCACUCCCUUGGCCGUCGGCAGGUUGACAGGGUAGCAGGGUGCCAGGAGUAAGUGUCAGAGUUCACGGCAAGCAUGCCAAGACAAGAUUUCCAGUCGUUUCUCAGAUGGAAAGAGAACGUCAAGAAAGAAAAUGAAACGAGAAAGUGUUUUGAAAAAUACCAUAAUAUCGACACAUUAAGGGGUGUAACUCCAGAGGAACUGGAGGAGGCCCAGUGCUAUUAUGGUAAACGACGCCUACCACCGAGUUUGACUGUCUCAUCCGUCCGUCCGUCCACCAGAACGGGACAGCUUAAUCCCAGUCUCUCAGUGAAACAAUGAAGAAGUGCAUCGAAGACAUACGGUUAGAAAUGAGCAAUACACUGAGGAAAUAUGUGGAAUUCCUUCAUCUUGCGACCUUCAGUAAGCAACAACAUUAUUGAAAUCUCAUUGUCUAUCUUAUCAGGGCAUUGCCAAGCUACUCUACCAUGAUCGUGGCACAGAAAUUCUUGACAUAGACUA